UUCAACUGAAGCACUGCCUGCCGGAAACAUCCUCGGUUGGUGUUCUUCUCCUCUGUGCUGUGCAGCACCAUUCUUACUCUCGUUUGAUUCGGCAGCUCACCGGAGCCGGCGCCGGCGAAAUCUCCGGCGACAGGUUGGAGUCAGAAGUGCAACUCAGGGUUUCAAUAUGGCGAUGAACCAGAUCAAUUUAUUGAGGAGUUCUAUCAGCAACAAGGAAGCAGUUGGGAUCUUAUUUCGACGAAAUUUUGCCGCUGGGGGAGGCAAAGCAAAGAAGGGCUCUAAAGGUGGUGGGGCUGGUGAUGCCCCUAAAGCUUCAUCACUCAGCAAAGAGGUCAAAGCUACCACUGUGGUUGGUGCCAAUAUCCUGAAGGAAGGAGCGGAUCCCAAGAUCCUCCCUGACUCUGAAUACCCUGACUGGUUGUGGCAUCUUCUCGAUAAGCGCCCUGCUCUGAGUGAGCUGAGGAGGAAAAACAUAGAAACUCUCCCGUAUGAAGACUUGAAACGCUUUGUUAAGUUGGACAAUCGAGCCAGGAUCAAGGAGAACAACUCCGUCAAGGCCAAGAACUAGUGGGGGAUGUACUUCUUAGCGGCCUGGCUAUGGAAUGUCGAACUGUCUUUUGUCUCAGUUUUCAAGUUCUGUUUUGGUGUCUGGUGAGGGGACAGGAGUUGGGGCACUCGCUUUGGUGAAAGAGACGUUUGAAGUCCAGUUUGGGUUCUGUUAAGCUGAUUGCUCAGUUCAUUCCAGGAUCAUUAACACUACACAAACAAAGCUGGGAGUGGAAGAAGGUACUUGGCUAAGCUAUGGUAGUGGUGAAGUGGUCCUGGGCAGUUGCGUAUAAUUUGAUACCGACUUCUUUUUAUCUGUCUCACUGCACUAUAGACAUCUGAUCAAAAUUUUAUGGUGUCCCUCCUUUCAUGGUUUGUUUUAUGAAAGCAAUUCUCUGAUUCUCCACUC